rnacentral:lncRNA from 1 species
CACGAACAUUCUUCACGCCUGGGUUUUGGGCGCUAUGGUCGUGCUUCAGUGGACGAUAGGGCCGUCUCUUUCUUGCAAUGAGAGCACACAGGCAGAAGUGCUGGGCGCCUUUUAGAUUACAGUCUUCGUUGACUCUCUCCCUGCCGUACUUCCUCACGUUCUCCGCUUCUGUAAUGCUGCAGUAGUAAUCCAACGACUCGCGUGAGUUUCUCUCCCCUGCGGCCCCGCCUCCCUUUUCCGUCCAGCAAAGAAAAGGCAUAACCCCGUAUUCCCUUCGUAUGUUUCUUCUUUCUUAUUCAACUUCAACCAACCCCGUUCAAAAGAAAAAAAAAACUUCAACCAAAGGAAGCGCAACAGCAAACUAGCGACCGUCCAAAUCAGCAAAUAUGCUUCCGCCGCCCCCGCCCCCUGUCCCAUCAUGCUAGUAAAUUUAAUUUGCCCAAAUCACGAGCCGGAGUGAUUCCUCAUCAUGGCCUUCACACAAGAACAUGGUUCUCGUCGUGGUCUGCAACGGAACUUACAGAGCCGCUCCCCGUAGCAAUGCUCGACCUCGAUCUUGUCCUUGUCGGCGUGAAAUCAAGCGGCAGCAGACCAGUAGAAAGGGGCAUCAGCAAUGCUCGGUCUCUUCUUCUUCUUCAGCGGUAGCAGCCCUGGCGGCGCGCUCAACGUGUUCAUGGCCACUUAGUAAAACACCGCCGUCGAGUUUUCCUAGGCGCCCUUCCUCAUGCAGUCCAACUCCGACAACCCACAGGUCCAUAGCGUC